rnacentral:rRNA from 1 species
UACGGGGGGGGCAAGCGUUGUUCGGAAUUACUGGGCGUAAAGGGCUCGUAGGCGGCCAACUAAGUCAGACGUGAAAUCCCUCGGCUUAACCGGGGAACUGCGUCUGAUACUGGAUGGCUUGAGAUUGGGAGAGGGAUGCGGAACUCCAGGUGUAGCGGUGAAAUGCGUAGAUAUCUGGAGGAACACCGGUGGCGAAGGCGGCAUCCUGGACCGACACUGACGCUGAGGCGCGAAAGCUAGGGUAGCAAACGGG